CGGGGUGCAGCAGGCGCGAAACCUUCGCAAUGCGCGCAAGCGCGACGAGGUUAUUCCGAGUGAUUUCCGCUGAGGAAAUCUUUUCUUAGAUCUAAAAAGUCUGGGGAAUAAGGGGAGGGCAAGUCUGGUGUCAGCCGCCGCGGUAAUACCAGCUCCUCGAGUGGUCAGGGCGUUUAUUGGGCCUAAAGCAUCCGUAGCCUGCUCGGUAGGUCUCCUGUUAAAUCCAACGGCUCAACCGUCGGCAUGCAGGAGAUACCGCUGGGCUAGGAGGCGGGAGAGGCGGACGGUACUCCGAGGGUAGGGGUAAAAUCCUUUGAUCCCCGGAAGACCACCAGUGGCGAAGGCGGUCCGCCAGAACGCGCUCGACGGUGAGGGAUGAAAGCUGGGGGAGCGAACCGGAUUAGAUACCCGGGUAGUCUCAGCUGUAAACGAUGCGAGCUAGGUGACACGACGCCUUCGGGGCAUCGUGGUGCCGCAGGGAAGCCGUUAAGCUCGCCGCCUGGGGAGUACGGACGCAAGUCUGAAAAAGGAAUUGGCGGGGGAGCAC
rnacentral:rRNA from 1 species